AGAGUUUGAUCAUGGCUCAGAUUGAACGCUGGCGGCAGGCCUAACACAUGCAAGUCGAGCGAGAAAGCACUUCGGUGUGAGUAGAGCGGCGGUUCGGUGUGAGUAGAGCGGCGGACGGGUGAGUAACGCGUAGGAAUUUGCCCAGUAGUGGGGGACAACAUGUGGAAACGCAUGCUAAUACCGCAUACGCCCUAUGGGGGAAAGCAGGGGAUCUUCGGACCUUGCGCUAUUGGAGAAGCCUGCGUCGGAUUAGCUAGUUGGUGGGGUAAAGGCCCACCAAGGCGACGAUCCGUAGCUGGUCUGAGAGGAUGAUCAGCCACACUGGGACUGAGACACGGCCCAGACUCCUACGGGAGGCAGCAGUGGGGAAUAUUGGACAAUGGGGGCAACCCUGAUCCAGCAAUGCCGCGUGUGUGAAGACGGCUUUCGGGUUGUAAAGCACUUUCAGUGGGGAAGAAACGCAGAUCGCUAAUACCGAUCUGUAAUGACGUUACCCACAGAAGAAGCACCGGCUAACUCCGUGCCAGCAGCCGCGGUAAUACGGAGGGUGCGAGCGUUAAUCGGAAUUACUGGGCGUAAAGGGCGCGUAGGUGGUUAGGUCAGUCGGAUGUGAAAGCCCCGGGCUCAACCUGGGAAUGCCAUUCGAUACUGCCUAGCUAGAGUAUGGUAGAGGGAAGCGGAAUUCCGGGUGUAGCGGUGAAAUGCGUAGAUAUCCGGAGGAACACCAGUGGCGAAGGGCGGCCGGCUGGGGCCACUCUGACACUGAGGUGCGAAAGCGUGGGGAGCGAACAGGAUUAGAUACCCUGGUAGUCCACGACGUAAACGAUGAGAACUAGAGAUGUGAGGGGAAUCGACCCCCCUUGUGUCGCAGCUAACGCAUUAAGUAUUCCGCCUGGGGAGUACGGUCGCAAGACUAAAACUCAAAGGAAUUGACGGGGGCCCGCACAAGCGGUGGAACAUGUGGUUUAAUUCGACGCAACGCGAAGAACCUUACCUAGGUUUGACAUCCCGAGACAACCCUUGAAAGGGGGCUUCCUCUUCGGAGGCUCGGUGACAGGUGCUGCAUGGCUGUCGUCAGCUCGUGUCGUGAGAUGUUGGGUUAAGUCCCGCAACGAGCGCAACCCUUGUCCUUAGUUGCCAGCAGGUUAAGCUGGGCACUCUAGGGAGACUGCCGGUGAUAAGCCGGAGGAAGGUGGGGAUGACGUCAAGUCCUCAUGGCCUUUAUAUCCAGGGCUACACACGUGUUACAAUGGGACCUACAAAGAGCAGCGAAGUCGCGAGGCCAAGCGAAUCUCAAAAAAGGUUUCUCAGUUCGGAUUGCAGUCUGCAACUCGACUGCAUGAAGGUGGAAUCGCUAGUAAUCGUGGAUCAGAACGCCACGGUGAAUACGUUCCCGGGCCUUGUACACACCGCCCGUCACACCAUGGGAGCCGACAAGGGCAGAAGUCGCCGAGCUAACCUUCGGGAAGCAGGCGCCCAAGCUGUUGUUGACGACUGGGGUGAAGUCGUAACAAGGUAACC
rnacentral:rRNA from 1 species